UACGUAGGCAGCGAGCGUUGUUCGGAGUUACUGGGCGUAAAGGGUGUGUAGGCGGUUCUCUAAGUUUGGUGUGAAAUCUCCCGGCUCAACCGGGGGGGUGCGCCGAAAACUGGGGGACUCGAGUGCGGGAGGGGAGAGUAGAAUUCCUGGUGUAGCGGUGAAAUGCGUAGAUAUCAGGAGGAAUACCGGUGGUGUAGACGGCUCUCUGGACCGCCACUGACGCUGAGACACGAAAGCGUGGGUAGCAAACAGG
rnacentral:rRNA from 1 species